rnacentral:snRNA from 1 species
GUGCUCGCUAUGGCAGCACAUACACUAAAAUUGGAACGAUACAGAGAAGAUUGGCAUGGCCCCUGCACAAG